rnacentral:RNase_P_RNA from 1 species
UCGUAGGGUCGGGUGAUCGCGAGUAAUUAUUAUUCGAGGAAAGUCCGGGCUCCAAUAAAGCAAGAUGCCGGGUAACGCCCGGCAAAUUGAUACUUAUGUGUCAGUUUAGGGAUAGUGCCACAGAAAGAAAACUACCUAGGCAUGCCUAGGAAAAGCUGAAAGGGUGCGGUAAGAGCGCACCGCGUUAAAGGUAACUUUAGCGGCAUGGUAAACCCCAUCUGGAGCAAGACCAAAUAGGAACGGCAUAUGAUGUGCUUUAUCAUCGCUGUUCGGGUGCGUCGCUUGAGAGUAUUAGUAAUAAUGCUUCUAGAAGAAUGAUCAUCACUGCAUUAGCAGUUACAGAACCCGGCUUAUAGGCCCUACGGCAUU